rnacentral:lncRNA from 1 species
CUACGCUGUAUAUGAGAAAAUUCAUGCUGCUUGUCUCCCCUUUUUAUUCAUUUGUUCCACAGGAUACCCAGGUUUAUUUCUCCAGACUUGGACUUCCUAAAUGCCAGAUGAAUAUAUUCAGCUGCCCAAGGACCUCUGGACUCAAAUUUCUUCCUGCACAGCAUGCUUAUCACCCGAGGUUGAACCUAUCCUUUCCCUUCCUCCCAGUCCCCAAAUCUGCUAUCCUCUCCAGCAUUCCCUCAGUCAAUAACAUCAACAUAACCACCCUUCCCCAACAUACUGCAAUUACCCAAGCUGGAGACACAAUCAUUUUGAUUCUUCCCUUUUACGUUGAUUUUUCUUCCUAAUGUGGUUAUAGUGUUAAGACAUUAGCUUAUCAGCCACUGAAGAAAGGUCUUGCUUUCUGGUCAUCGGAGCAAAAUCUAAACUUCAGUUGCAUCAAGAACUACAGGAACAGGAGACAGAUGACUCACUUCUACAAUGGCCAUCAUUAGCUCCUGUGGAUUUCAUUACAACUUGACUGAAUUACCUGAGUACUUUGAACUAAUUAGAAAAUUAACUCAUUUGAAAGGAUAGUAAGGUAUAUGGAAGGAUAUUUGUUGGAGUUUAAACAUUCAAGAUGCUGUCUGAAAACUUUGAGAAGUACUUAGACCAUACAUGUGUUCAAUUUCUCCAUUUAGUACUUGUUCAUGUGAUUUCAUUUGUUUACCUUUUGACAAUUCAAAGUGAUUAUUUUCAAUAUCAGGCAAUGCAUGUACUUGAACUUCUCUGUAGUUAAGCAAAGCAGUCAUUGGUGUGUCAAAUAUGGUGGAAUCAGGGAAACACAUUAUUUCACUCCUAAAUAGGAUUUACCGGUUUUUUGUUUUUCUUCUGUUCGUUUUUUACUAUCUCUAACAAAUUAGAACUUGAUAUUUAAGAUAACAGAGGUAACUUUACAAACCGCUGGAAAGACAUUUUGAUUUGACAAUUUCUUGACAUUUUUUUGCAUACAUUUUAUGUGUGUAUAUGUGUGUAUAGAUAUGGUGACUGUACCAAUCAAGAAGAGGUGUUAUUUAAAGUAACUGAUUUUUUAACUUCAAUUUUAUCAUGGAAACAUCUGAAAGAUAGUUAAAAACUGUAGUUAUAUCUGUUUUAGUCUGAGAGUAUAAUUAGCACAUGUAAAAAUUUCCAAGGAGAUCUUACUAGUUUUGUACUUUGAUCUUUGUUCUGGCUUAUAAGUUGGCUAGUUUUAUUGGUCACUCAAUUAAUGAUGAUGUCUCUGGUAAAUACACAUAAGCUACUAAUGUGGUCAUUUAGCCCCCCACGGAAGUCAGAAGAUUGGACUAAGUGUCCACUUAAAGGUGUAGCGAAUUCUAAUACUAGUAUUUAAUCAGUUGUGACUAAACUAUCUAAAUUUAACUCAUAUUAAAGACUUGGAUAAAAAUGAGAAAAAGUGUGCAAAAAAUGUUUUCUAUCUUUUUAUUCUCAAUAAUUGGCACAGUGGUCAAAAAAUGGAACUAAACGUUUCUGAAUGAAUGGAAAAGGCUUUAUGGAGCUAUUAAAGGAUAAAUUAUUAUUUGUAACAUAUUGUACAAUAUCUGGAUCUAAAGUUGAAUUUUUUUUCCCCAUUUCCGGUGUCCCCCGAUAAAAAAAAUCACCACUAAGGCAUUUGGUAAAAACUUUAAAAUAGUUUAACUUUUAAAAACAAGGUUUAGCUGAAAGCAGAUCUCACAGUUUGUGUACUGGAGAGGGGUAAAGCAGUAUGUCAAUCUCUUGCCAGCUCUUUUUUUUUUUUUUUUUUAAGAGAAAAGUUUUUUAGUUUUCUAGGAGGAGUUAGACAUAAAUAUCUCAAAACAAUUUUAAAUAAUUAGGUGAACUUCACAGAUUUUUCUUUUUUGUCAAGAAAUUACAUGUUGGAGUAGAGUUUAUAUUUUCUAUUCUAGUACACGAUGACCCUCCAUUGUAAAAAAAAAAAAAAAAAAAAAAAGCAUACACAAAGUAGCAGAGACAUUCAUUUCUUUGAGUCACUAAUAAUUUCUGAAAGAUGAUAAAUUCAAAUCCUGUCCUUUUUCCUCAGGGAAAAAAUUAAGCAUUCUGUUGGCUCUCCUCUGAAUUAUUUUAAUAAAAAAUAGAAUGCUUUAUUACUAUUUGUGAACAUAGAAAGUAAGUAUUUGAUUACACGGGAGGACUACUUUAUAAUUUCACUUCACGGAUUCAAAUGGGGAAUUCUCAAGAAUUUUAAACUCGAUUUCAACAUGUGGGGGCUUAUUUUGGAUUUCUUGAUUUGUUACGCGGCUUUCAGGUAUAUUUAAAAAUCCAAGAAAUGCAGGAGGUUUUAAAGAAAUAACUAGCUGUGUGAUUUCUGGCUCUGUCCAAAGGUUUGCUUUUACAGAUUUCUUACUAAUGUAGGUUUUCCUCAUCUUAAUUCUAAGCAUAUAUUUAGUGAUCUAAAGUUAGAAAAUCUAAAGCACAAUUUAAAUGAUUAAACACUAAAGGUUCAAAGGGGGGAAAAAGCUUAAUCAUGCCUUUGUAAUGUGAAUGGUAAAGACACCAAUUAUUGACUAGAUGCAGCCGACUGUGAAUGGACAGCCAUGUUUAAAGAGAAGUUAACUAUAAAGCAGGGAAGCGUCUCUGGUGAGUCAGAGAAUUCGUAACUUGAGGAACUCCUAGUGGAAAUGAAGUGGAAAGACAGUUUCUUUCAUCAAUGAGAAAACGUCUAGAAGGAAAAGAGGGUUAAUAAAACUCACCAGAGAAACUUACUGAUAAUGAUUCACAAAUUAAAUCAGUUUACGU